AAUAUUUCUUGUCUAUUCUAAAAGGUCAGAUGCAGAUGUGACCCAGCAUUCUGAAACAUUCUGCAUUCACUUGUUAUUUUGGUCUAUGUGUAGCUGGUUUCACAACACCCGAAAGCAGAACCAGCUGUUCCUCUUUCCACUCUCUAACUCUGCUGGACCUAUCUCGCACCCCCAUUUUGUAACCUGAUAUGUCUGUUUACUUUGCUGUAUAAAAUAAACUCGGUCAGUGAUCACACCUCUGUAGUCCACUGCAGAUCAGUGUGAUUACCCUCGCUUCAAGUAGAAAAAGUCUCUGUGUCGUUCCUCUGAGUUUGACUGUUGGUUUGAGCUGAUCACUCAUUCCACACCCCAACAAGGAUGAAGCUAAAUACAGUUAAGAAAGCAAGAAGGAAGCCUUUAAGGUCCUGCAUGUUCUGAUGGUGGAAAACAGCCUUAAUAACAAUGCAGAACAACAAUACCUGUGGUUAGAUCCCACUUCCUCUUUGUCGUACAUCACGCCUCCCCAGACCUGCAUCCUCCACCCCCUGCCUCCUCCUUCUCUGUUUCCCAGUUGCAUCUGUUUGGUAUAUUCCCAAGGGCAGCUAGGGGCCAGAAGGGUCCAUGAAUAAGUCAUUAACACUGGCCCUUCAGACUCUGUGAUCAUCGGCAACCUGUUCAAAAACAUGGUUCCCCGCCACCUCUCAUGCUCCCUCUGCACCCUUCACUCUGCAUUCAUAAGCAAUGAAAACAUAAAUAAAUAACAUGUUAUGAAGUUUGAGUGUGUUUAUGUGUGUAGGUCUCUGUUUCAGCACCUUGAGCUUCAACGUGUUCGUUGACUUAUUGAACUGACAAGGAGCUGAUAUUGUACUGGGAAGUAACCGGUAUAGAGAGAGUGAUGCUUAUUCAAAAUGAGUUAGGAAAACUUGAAGGUCAGCCAAGUCAGAAAAAAGAUGGAAUCAAGAAAUUUCGUUCACCUCGCCAAAAUGUGGUUUUAAAGUCCAGAGUAAAAAACUGAAACAUUUUGUUUAGGAGGAUUUUAAUUUUUAUUAUUGCAAUUUUCUGUUAGCUAUGUUAUUUUAUCCAUUUAGUUUAAUACAAGUUUGUUGUGUUUUUACAGCUCUUUAUGGGAUAAAUUUUUUUUUUUUUUUUUGCUGUUUUUGCUGUACAAACUCAUUGAUGCAAUGAGUUUGUUAAAGGGUGUCAUUUAAAUAACGUUGACAUUAAAACUCAUUUUAACAAUUAAAUAGAUUCAGUUUGAGCGGUUAAACUUUUUGUCUUAUAGUUGGCAACAUAAAAAUGUUGCUGCAAAAGAAGAUUUAUCACUACUGUGUAAUACUUUACACCUAAAACCAUCAUUAGUUGAGAAAGACUACAGUCAUUCUGAUCGGAUUCCAGCUCAUGGCUGUAUAUGUUUUUAUAAUUUGAGAAAAGGUUUUGCAUUUGCACUUCAUCAGGUCCUAUCAAUAAAAGUGCCUUUUUGAAAAGCCUGAAAUACUUCAGCUAAUUCAAAACCAAUCAGAUAUUAGAUAUAGGUGUAAUCCAGGUGUUAAGUUUAAAGAAAAAACUUUAGCUUUCCUCCUAUUAAGGAAAAAACACCCUUGCAUAUAAUACUGCCCUGCUCUGACAUCACAUCAUCAUGUGACAGUGGAAGACCUAUGAAUAGGCUAUAUAGACAGGAAGUAGUGACUGCCGGGAGAUGCUAGGGAGGCGCUGGGAAAAGUUUGCUGGAGGAGCCACCUACCAGGACCAGAUUGUGUGAAAACUAGCCGGGGUUUUUGUAGAAACCACGGAGUUGGCCAGGUAUUGAUGGCGAGCUAGGAGCCUGAAGCUCUACUCAGCCCAAAUUCAUCUGUUGAACAUCACCUACUCUGAUUGGGCCGGUAGGAGACUUUGCAGCCACCAUUUUAAGUCAUUGUCUCUUUGCAACUCAUUGCUCAUGGCCUUUCUACAUAAACUCUGAAGAUCUAUCCCUCUGUUGUUGAACCUCUUGGACUUUUGCCUGCUGGGCCGUUGAACUGGAUGUUGCAGGUGGCACAUACUGCUGCUUGGACUUGGAUUUCUCUUGAACUUGUGACUUGAAAGAAUAUGCAUAAUUCGUAUUAGAAUUUGAACUGAUGAACUGUGAUUUAAGAUUUGAAUGGCCAUUUGUCUUGAUAUCUUCUGUGUCUCUGUUAUGUUUGUUUUCCUGCACAAUAUACAGUAUGGUACCACCUAAAAAAAAAAUCAGUUGCUGGUGUUCAGUCUCUUUCUCCGCUCCUAGAGUCAACCUUUGGGAAUCUUCUGUUUCUAGCCUAAGAUUAAGUGAAGCACAGGUAACACAAAGCAUAGUAACUGAAUAACUAUAAUAGUCCCUGCAGCUUUUACUAAUGUUUCUCACAUCCUUAUUGAUACCUGAUGAUGGAGAGAGUCUCAGGGCAUGUAAAACAUAAAAAGAAACUUUUAUGAGAUUCAGGUUCUUUUACUGCAAUGAUUUGUGUUACAUCAGUGAUUCAUAUCAGUUCAGUGUAUUUGAAUAAAAUAUGGUUUAAUGAAAGAAGUUAAAAAAACUUUUAAACCAGUUAAAAUAGGUGCAACAAAAUACUCUAAAGAUGCUUUCACUUCGUUUCCUAUCUUGCUGUUCAUGCUGGUGCAUCAAAAACACAGUUUAAGUGGGUCUGAAUAUUAAGAGCGCAUAUCAUGCAAAAUCCACUUUUUUUAGCCCUUAAAUGCAUUUUGUUGUGUACUUAGAGUGUGUAGGAGAGGAGAAAAGUUGAAUUUAGUCUCCCCAGGUGCUGUGUAGAUAUCUUUAUAUUUUGUUUGGCUCAUAUUUUUCAAUCUGUUCAGUUUUCUCGAUUUUCCAUUAACUUCUUUUAACUGUUACGUCACAUUAUUUGCUGCAGAACAGCUAAACAAGAUAAUGGACUACGUAUUUCGUGUUUCUGACAUUUUUAUUUCUUGCUGCAAUUUUGUAGUCCAAGCUCAAGUAUGCCAAAGCUGCGAGUGGAUAAGUCUAAAUGUUCGGUUGUUGGGUGUAUUAACCCACACAAUUCAUUACACUGUCUGUAGGAUCAUAACCUCUUCCAAGUGCCUGGUUACAUUUUAUUUUUCAUGGAAAUUUACCCACAUCAAUGAGGAAAUUUCUCAAUGUUUGUGCGUAGUACUUCGAGGACGAGUGCUUCAGCAGCUUCCGACAGUAUCAAGAGGGAUUUGCUAAAAGACUUCAGGGGUCAGUUCCUUCUGUCUAUGUUAACGAUGGACACAGCAAAGCGCACAGCCAGGAAACAGGGUAACUGCGGACUUCCUGUGACGUCACUGUCCAAAUAAAAACACCGCUCUUGCUACAUCCUGCCUCUACCACCCGGACUCCGUGUGAGGCUGGCCAGGGAGAGAGUGCGCUAAUGUCUUUUUGCUGGCAAACAAACUCUUCAACUGGAUCCGAGAGUGUCAUAAGAUCACGCGAUCAUAUGCACGAGUUAAGUACCAAUGAAUCAC